AGCUGAGUUUGAUCCUGGCUCAGAUUGAACGCUGGCGGCAGGCCUAACACAUGCAAGUCGAGCGGUAGAGAGAAGCUUGCUUCUCUUGAGAGCGGCGGACGGGUGAGUAAUGCCUAGGAAUCUGCCUAGUGGUGGGGGAUAACGUUCGGAAACGGACGCUAAUACCGCAUACGUCCUACGGGAGAAAGCGGGGGACCUUCGGGCCUCGCGCCAUUAGAUGAGCCUAGGUCGGAUUAGCUAGUUGGUGAGGUAAUGGCUCACCAAGGCGACGAUCCGUAACUGGUCUGAGAGGAUGAUCAGUCACACUGGAACUGAGACACGGUCCAGACUCCUACGGGAGGCAGCAGUGGGGAAUAUUGGACAAUGGGCGAAAGCCUGAUCCAGCCAUGCCGCGUGUGUGAAGAAGGUCUUCGGAUUGUAAAGCACUUUAAGUUGGGAGG
rnacentral:rRNA from 1 species